rnacentral:lncRNA from 1 species
GUUUUUUCUUCAAACAGAGUAAUCAGAUUGUGGCGCCGAAGGUGUUGCUCAAGAGACAACUAAAAUAGUCCCAGGCUGAGAAUCAGCUACGUCGUUAAGUCGAAAUACAGAGCCAUCUUCGACAUCCUAACAUACUACAACUCUAUGGUUAUUUUUAUGAUCAGAUGUGUUCGAGUUUGUUUGGUUCUAUAUGUUAAGAGGAAAAUUUUACAUUGGACUUAUAUGUAGCAAAAUAAUUGCAGACACAAGUUUAUUUAAUUUUGGAGUAUGCUGCCAAGGGAGAACUAUAUAAGAAGCUGCAAAAAUGUAAAUAUUUUAGCGAAAGACACGCUUCUACUAUAAGUCCUCUCGCUGUUUCCAGUGCUCUUCCUCCUAAAACUCAUCUAUACAUCUUUAAUUUUUAAUAUUCUAAUGACAUUUUUUUGAGCUUAUAGGAAGACUGACUAGAGGUCAUUAUUUGUUUUAUCGGAUGUGACCAGUAUGUUGCAUCAUUAGCUAGAGCGCUCAUUACUGUCAUGGAAACGCACGUGAUUCAUAGAGAUAUUGAACUAGAGAACCUUUUGGUUGGAGCACAGAUAUCUAGCGG